rnacentral:rRNA from 1 species
GCCUACGGGGGGCAGCAGUGAGGAAUAUUGGUCAAUGGUCGGGAGACUGAACCAGCCAAGCCGCGUGAGGGAGGAAGGUACAGAGUAUCGUAAACCUCUUUUGUCAGGGAACAAAGGCGGGGACGUGUCCCCGGAUGAGUGUACCUGAAGAAAAAGCAUCGGCUAACUCCGUGCCAGCAGCCGCGGUAAUACGGAGGAUGCGAGCGUUAUCCGGAUUUAUUGGGUUUAAAGGGUGCGCAGGCGGGAGAUCAAGUCAGCGGUAAAAUGUCGGGGCUCAACCCGGGCCGG